rnacentral:rRNA from 1 species
AUAGCGUAUAUUAAUAUUGUUGCGGUUAAAAAGCUCGUAGUUGGAUCUCGGUUUCGGGCGAGUGGUGCACCUUGCGGUGUUUACUGCCUGCCCGGACGAUUUUGUUGGUUCGUUUAUGGUUCUCUUAACCGAGUGCCAUAAGUGGCCAGCACGUUUACUUUGAAAAAAUUGGAGUGCUCAAAGCAGGCGCUACAGCCUGAACAUUAGUGCAUGGAAUAAUGGAAUAGGAUCUCGGUUCUAUUUCGUUGGCUUUCGGAGUCGAGGUAAUGAUUAAUAGGGACAGACGGGGGCAUUCGUACUGCGACGUUAGAGGUGAAAUUCUUGGAUCGUCGCAAGACGAACUACUG